rnacentral:rRNA from 1 species
GAUGAACGCUAGGCGGCAGGCCUAACACAUGCAAAGUCGAAACGAGACCUUCGGUCUAGUGGCGCACGGGUGCGUAACGCGUAGGCAAUCUACCCGAUACAGGGGAAUAACACGGGGAAACUCGUGCUAAUACCGCGUAAUGAAUGAGAAGGCAUCUUCUUAUUUUAAAAGACUUUGGCGGUAUCGGAAGAGCCUGCGUCCUAUUAGCUAGUUGGUAAGGUAAUGGCUUACCAAGGCGACGAUAGGUAGGGGGAACUGAGAGGUUGAUCCCCCACACUGGUACUGAGAUACGGACCA